rnacentral:lncRNA from 1 species
CCAUUCUGAAGCUAUCAAGGUCAAGGAGGAAUGGGCAAAAAACUAAUAACGAAGGAGGACAGUUGUGUUCAGCGCACCUCAAAUCAGCAGUUCAAGUGAAAGGCAACUUGGUAAGAGAUCAGGUCGGCCUGCAGUCUCAAAGGAGGAAGUGUCAGAAGUGUCAUAGGCACAGCGAGAGACCAGAUGACGAUCAGAUGGCUGUCACCAGAGCCACGCCCAGAGCCAUUUCUCCAACCUGGCAGGUUGUCUCUCCAUCCCCGUGUCUGAGGACAGCAGCACCUGGUUCCGGGUCUCCCUUUCCAGUCUGCUGUCGUCUUCUCUGACCUCAGAACGUGGUCUGCACUCUCUGGCUUGGACAUCCGUGCCAGGUUGGUUCUAUCUGCCUGGAAUCCCAAGUUGUAAUUGUUCUCCAAGGCCUUGAAAAUGCUGUUUCCUCCAUGAAGACUUUGUGAUCCAUCUGACAAGAAGCCCUCUCUUCCUCUAAAACGUCAUACCAUUCGAUCUAGACCUGACUCGUGGUGUUUAUUUUCUACCAUGCUUUAUAAUUCUGCUGUCAUGGAUUGAAAUCCUACUAUGAGCUGGAGAUCCUGGGGAUAGAGAUGAACAGGACACAGUACCAACUUGCAGGAAUUUUCAAGACUGGUGGAGGAAACACUCAUUUGAUAUUCAACGUGGACAGGUGGGAGGAGAGGGGGAGGGGCGGCCGCUCAGGGCACUGAGACAGAGUGUGGUGCCAGCGCCUCUGGGGGCUCCUGGAGGGACUGUGGUGCCAGCCGAUCACAUGCUCGGUGACUGCGCAGGGACCCUUCUUUCCUGUCUUUGGGGAAAUUUCUGGAGGAGACACAUGAGGCUUGUUGACAUUUAGGACCGUCACUUAAUAGUUUCUAAGUGGGACCACGGACCACUUGACAGGGAGCUAAGACUGCAGUGAACUUGGGUUUGGGUAGGACUGGGAGCCUGGAGGAGCGGGAAGACUGUUAAGGGAAGUGGCCAAGCUUGCACGUAGGAGUCGUAGUCACAAAGGUGCUGGGUGCUGGCACGACUGCAAUGGUGCCUGGGCCCAGUCUGACUGAGGCACCACCACCCUGGUAACUCGUCUGGAAGUGUAGUCACGCGAACCCCAUGCAUCAGAUGGAUGCUGAGCCUUCCCUGAAGCAGACAGCGCCGCACAGAAUCAGAACGUGGACUUUAUCCUGAAGGCCCUUCCAGUUUUCUGGACACUGCAAACUGGAAUUGCCCGUGGGAAAUAGUA